GCUUCGUUCUCCUCCAGGUACAACUCUAAGAGAAGACACUGGAGGAGAACGAAGCUGGGUCUGUAAGGAGUCACACUACGGCCAGACUGAGGAUUUCUACUGAAUCGCCGUCAUCGAUCAGUCCGACCAGAUGGAUUUCAACAUUUUUAACCUAGAGAUUUACUUGUGUCUGAACUAAUUUGUCCAGUAAUAAAAUUUAGAACCUUUCAAAAAAAA
rnacentral:sRNA from 1 species